rnacentral:tRNA from 1 species
GUUAAUAUAGUUUAAGAAAAAUGUCAGACUGUGAAUCUGAAGAUAGGACAUUAACACCCUUAUUAACC